AGUGAACGCUGGCGGUACGCCUAACACAUGCAAGUCGAACGGCAGCACAUUAAUAGCUUGCUCGUACGGGUGUCGAGUGGCGGCCAGGUGGGGAAUACAUCGGAAUCUACUUUUUCGUGGGUUGUAACUUAGGGAAACUUACGCUAAUACCUCAUACGACCUACGGCUGAAAGCAGGGGAUCUUCGAAACUUGCGCGAUUGAGUGAGCCGAUGUCGGAGUAGCUAGUUGGCGGGGUAAAGGCCCACUAACGCGACGAUCCGUAGCCGGUCUGAGAGGAUGAUCAGCCACACUGGAACUGAGACACGGUCCAGACUCAGACGGGAGGCAGAAGUGGGGAAUAUUGGACAAUGGGCGCAAGCCUGAUCCAGCCAUACCGCGUGGGUGAAGAAGGCCUUCGGGUUGUAAAGCCCUUUUGUUGGGAAAGAAAAGCAGCAGGUUAAGUCCCCGCUGUUCUGACGGUACCCAAAGAAUAAGCACCGGCUAACUUCGUG
rnacentral:rRNA from 1 species